UAGUUUGGUGGAUCAAAUUACGGAAAAAUGGAACAGAAAACACAAGAGGAAGU
rnacentral:sRNA from 1 species